rnacentral:piRNA from 1 species
UGACAGAUCAGUCAGUGGGUGCCCCCUG